rnacentral:rRNA from 1 species
CCUACGGGUGGCAGCAGUGAGGAAUAUUGGUCAAUGGGCGUAAGCCUGAACCAGCCAAGUCGCGUGAGGGAUGAAGGUUCUAUGGAUCGUAAACCUCUUUUAUAAGGGAAUAAAGUGUGGGACGUGUCCUAUUUUGUAUGUACCUUAUGAAUAAGGAUCGGCUAACUCCGUGCCAGCAGCCGCGGUAAUACGGAGGAUCCGAGCGUUAUCCGGAUUUAUUGGGUUUAAAGGGUGCGUAGGCGGCCUUUUAAGUCAGCGGUGAAAGUCUGGGGCUCAAACAUAGAAUUGCCGUUGAAACUGGGGGGCUUGAGUAUGUUAGAGGAAGGCGGAAGGCGUGGUGGAGCGGUGAAAUGCUUAGAUAUCACGCAGAACCCCGAUUGCGAAGGCAGCCUGCCAAGCCAUGACUGACGCUGAUGCACGAAAGCGUGGGGAUCAAACAGGAUUAGAUACCCUUGUAGUC